UAGUUUUAGGAGGAUGGACGACACUUAGCAAAGGGCCGCGGCUGGGAUUCGAACCCGGGCCGCUGGACUAUGACUCGGCUUACAUGGGGCGCACGCUCUACUGGGUGAGCCCAUAAUGGACAGUGAAGAAGAGUCCUACAAACUGCUUGUUGUGACCACGUCUCGUUCGGUUUCAGCCAAUCGCGUAAACGUAGAUUCGAGGGGAUGAUUUAUCACGUAGCGUUACAUUUGCGCAUUAGUCACUCAAUUAUGAGUUAGAACUUGUUAGCUACCCUGCUGGAGGUCAACCCCUGAGUGAAAACAUAACAAGUUUAGCUUUUCGUUGCUGCUUCCCUCACCAUUCAGACACCAACCUGUUCAUGCCAGGAAGGUUCCCCCAGAAGUAGCGGGCGCGGUGGGCAGCAGACACUUCCUUGGCAUCGAUCAUCACUGGGUUGCACUGAAAUCCAAGUGAAGCAGAGAAGAAAACACACCAGGGACCAAGAACCACAACUGUAACGCAUGGCCUCAACGUCAUCGUUCUCAGCCACUCCCUCUGUUUGGUGAUUGGACCGCAAACCCAGACAGAGCACUGAAGGGAAAUGAAAAUUGAGCGCAAGUACACAGGAGGGCGGAGCCAGGUUAAU